rnacentral:rRNA from 1 species
GACGAACGCUGGCGGCGUGCUUAACACAUGCAAGUCGAGCGGUAAGGCCCUUUCGGGGUACGACGAGCGGCGAACGGGUAGGAGUAACAACGUGGGUGGACCUCGCCCUCCAGCUCUGGGAGUAAGCCUCGGGAAACCGGGGUACCGUAAUAACCGGAGUAUGACUCCAUGACGCAUGUUGUGGGUGGAAAGACCUUGUGCGGCUGAGGAGUGGGCCCGGCCGGCCUAUCAGC